rnacentral:ribozyme from 1 species
UUUUUGCAUGAAAUCUGUUGCUCUUUUUUCUUGGCAUUCUUCUUUUUUUGUUUUUUAAUUAAUUCG